rnacentral:rRNA from 1 species
CCUACGGGAGGCAGCAGUGAGGAAUAUUGGUCAAUGGGCGGGAGCCUGAACCAGCCAAGUCGCGUGAGGGACGACGGUCCUAUGGAUUGUAAACCUCUUUUGUCGGGGAACAAAGGCGCCCACGGGUGGGCGGAUGAGUGUACUCGGAGAAAAAGCAUCGGCUAACUCCGUGCCAGCAGCCGCGGUAAUACGGAGGAUGCAAGCGUUUUCCGGAAUCAUUGGGCGUAAAGGGUUCGUAGGCGGUAUGUUAAGUCUGGUGUUAAAUGCAGAAGCUCAACUUCUGGUCGGCACUGGAUACUGGCAAACUAGAAUGCGGGAGAGGUAAGGGGAAUGCGUGGUGUAGCGGUGAAAUGCUUAGAUAUCAGGAGGAACAUCGGUGGCGUAAGCGCUUUACUGGGGCGUAAUUGACGCUGAGGAACGAAAGCCAGGGUAGCGAAUGGGAUUAGAUACCCGAGUAGUC